rnacentral:rRNA from 1 species
UACAGAGGUCUCAAGCGUUGUUCGGAUUCAUUGGGCGUAAAGGGUGUGUAGGUGGCGCCGUAAGUCGGGUGUGAAAUUUCGGAGCUUAACUCCGAAACUGCAUUCGGAUACUGCGGUGCUUGAGGACUGGAGAGGAGACUGGAAUUCAUGGUGUAGCAGUGAAAUGCGUAGAGAUCAUGAGGAAGACCAGUGGCGAAGGCGGGUCUCUGGGCCGAUACUGACGUGAGGAGCGAAAGCGUGGGGAGCGAACAGG